rnacentral:rRNA from 1 species
CAGUCGCCACGGUAAUACGGAGGGUGCAAGCGUUAAUCGGAAUUACUGGGCGUAAAGCGCACGCAGGCGGUCUGUCAAGUCAGAUGUGAAAUCCCCGGGCUUAACCUGGGAACUGCAUUUGAAACUGGCAGGCUAGAGUCUUGUAGAGGGGGGUAGAAUUCCAGGUGUAGCGGUGAAAUGCGUAGAGAUCUGGAGGAAUACCGGUGGCGAAGGCGGCCCCCUGGACAAAGACUGACGCUCAGGUGCGAAAGCAUGGGGAGCAAACAGGAUUAGAUACCCGAGUAGUCCCUGUCUCUUAUAC